rnacentral:rRNA from 1 species
AAACCAAGAUGAUUAAGUUAUAUUUCAUCGGUGAAAAGACAGUUAGGCAAAGUUUGAUGACUAGUUAAUUUAACCGUUAUUCAGAAGUAAAAUUCGAAAAUGACCGGGAGACCUUAAAUUCACUAGGAGGCUGAAGCUGUGAUAACUUUGAGGGAAACUGGGAUUAGAUACCCCACUAUUCUUAGAGGUAAAAAAACAUUAGUUUACCAGAGCACUACGAACUUGUAGAUUUAAAACUCAAAGAGCUUGGCGGUGUUUUAGACUCUUCAGGGGAACCUGUCUCAUAAUCGACAAUCCACGUUAAACCUGACCUUUAUUUGCCAUCAGUUUGUAUACCGUCGUCGUCAGGUAACUUUUUAGAACAAAGAAGUUAGCGGAAAAAGUAAAUUGAUAAUCUUUGACGUCAGAUCAAGGUGCAGCCCAUAUAAGGGGGAGGAUGGGUUACAAUUAUUAGAGUCAUAAGUACGAAAUAAUUACUUUAAAAGCAACUAUGAAGGAGGACUUGAAAGUAAAACGAAUUACAUAAAUAGGUUGAAUCAAGCUCUGAAACGUGC